AUUGAACGCUGGCGGCAGGCUUAACACAUGCCAGUCGAGCGGGGAGAUGUAGCUUGCUACAUAUCCUAGCGGCGGACGGGUGAGUAAUGCUUAGGAAUCUGCCUAUUAGUGGGGGACAACAUUCCGAAAGGAAUGCUAAUACCGCAUACGCCCUACGGGGGAAAGCAGGGGAUCUUCGGACCUUGCGCUAAUAGAUGAGCCUAAGUCGGAUUAGCUAGUUGGUGGGGUAAAGGCCUACCAAGGCGACGAUCUGUAGCGGGUCUGAGAGGAUGAUCCGCCACACUGGGACUGAGACACGGCCCAGACUCCUACGGGAGGCAGCAGUGGGGAAUAUUGGACAAUGGGCGCAAGCCUGAUCCAGCCAUGCCGCGUGUGUGAAGAAGGCCUUUUGGUUGUAAAGCACGUUAAGCGAGGAGGAGGCUCCUUUAGUUAAUACCUAAAGAGAGUGGACGUUACUCGCAGAAUAAGCACCGGCUAACUCUGUG
rnacentral:rRNA from 1 species